rnacentral:rRNA from 1 species
UGGGAUGACGUCAAAUCAUCAUGCCCCUUAUGUUCUGGGCUACACACGUGCUACAAUGGCCGGUACAGACGGAGGCGAAGCCGCGAGGCGGAGCAAAUCCGAAAAAAGCCGGUCUCAGUUCGGAUUGCAGGCUGCAAUUCGCCUGCAUGAAGUCGGAAUCGCUAGUAAUCGCAGGUCAGCAUACUGCGGUGAAUACCGGUUCCCGGGCCUU